UGGGGUAUAUUGGACAAUGGGCGCAAGCCUGAUCCAGCCAUGCCGCGUGUGUGAAGUAGUCCUUUUGGUUGUAAAGCAUUUUAAGCGAGGAGGAGGCUACUUGCAUUAAUACUCUCGGACAUUUGACGUCACUCUCAGAAUAAGCACCGGCUAACUCUGUGCCAGCAGCCGCGGCAUUACAGAGGGUGCGAGCGUUAAUUGGAUUUACUGGGCGUAAAGCGUGCGUAGGCGGCUUCUUAAGUCGGAUGUGAAAUCCAUGAGCUUAACUUAGGAAUUGAAUUCGAUACUGAGAAGCUAUAGUAUGGGAGAGGAUGGUAGAAUUCCAGGUGUAACGAUGAAAUGCGUAGAGAUAUGGAGGAAUACAGAUAGCGAAGGCAACCAUCUGACCGAAUACAGACGCAGAGGUACGAAAGAAUGGGGAGCGAGCAGA
rnacentral:rRNA from 1 species